rnacentral:rRNA from 1 species
UACGUAGGUGGCAAGCGUUGUCCGGAAUCACUGGGCGUAAAGCGCGCGCAGGCGGCGAUCUACGUCUGGGGUGAAAGCCCGGAGCUCAACUCCGGGACUGCCUUGGAUACGGGAUCGCUUGAGGAUUGGAGAGGCAAGGGGAAUUCCACGUGUAGCGGUGAAAAUGCGUAGAUAUGUGGAGGAACACCUGUGGCGAAGGCGCCUUGCUGGCCAAUUUCUGACGCUGAGGCGCGAAAGCGUGGGGAG